rnacentral:rRNA from 1 species
UACGUAGGGUGCAAGCGUUAAUCGGAAUUACUGGGCGUAAAGCGUGCGCAGGCGGUUCGUUGUGUCGGCGGUGAAAGCCCCGGGCUUAACCUGGGAAUGGCCGUUGAAACUGGCGAACUGGAGUGUGGCAGAGGAUAGUGGAAUUCCCGGUGUAGUGGUGAAAUGCGUAGAUAUCGGGAGGAACACCAGUGGCGAAGGCGACUAUCUGGGCUGAAACUGACGCUGAGGCGCGAAGGCUAGGGGAGCAAACAGG